CCUCAUAUACACACUCAGAAAUGCAGUAAAUCUUUUCUCUGUUUUUCUUUCUGUCAUUUUUCUUUUUCUCACUUAACUACGGUACAAAAUGUUCAGAGCUCAUAACCAGGGAAUUUAGCAUCUGUCGGUUUAGUCAUGUCUAGGAGAAGAUAAGCCAUACCCCCAAUUCCUUCAAAUAGAGAAUAAGGAUUAUCUCCUCCAUGCAUCUCUCCCUCGGCUAUAAGCUUGGAAGCUCUAUCAACAAGAAAGCAAGCAAAUGCCUUGGCUCUGUACAAGAACUCCUUAUUACCCGUCGCACGGUAAAGUGAGAGGAAGAUGUAUGCAUUUCCACUUACGCCGUGACAAAUGCCAACCCGUCUGAGCAGGCCACGAUUCCAGACCACCUCUGCUGCAUUUACGGCUGCUUCCAGAAACUCUUCGUCACCAAAUACCUUAGCAUCAGAAUUUUUUUAGGGCAAUUGUGAGCAGGACAAGUAAAAGAAGAAUAUUAGAGAAAACACAAGUACAGUUAACCUAAUGUGCAAUUCCUCUACCCAUGAUAAAAAUGUGAUCGUCAUACAUAUUCCUUAUAACGAGUUGGCCUAUUACCACAUAAUGGAGAGGAAGGACUUCUAAUUUAUGGUAGUUCUACAA